GAUGAACGCUGGCGGCGUGCCUAAUACAUGCCAGUCGAGCGAACGGACGAGAAGCUUGCUUUUCUGAUGUUAGCGGCGGACGGGUGAGUAACACGUGGAUAACCUACCUAUAAGACUGGGAUAACUUCGGGAAACCGGAGCUAAUACCGGAUAAUAUUUUGAACCGCAUGGUUCAAAAGUGAAAGACGGUCUUGCUGUCACUUAUAGAUGGAUCCGCGCUGCAUUAGCUAAUUGGUAAGGUAACGGCUUACCAAGGCAACGAUGCAUAGCCGACCUGAGAGGGUGAUCGGCCACACUGGAACUGAGACACGGUCCAGACUCCUACGGGAGGCAGCAGUAGGGAAUCUUCCGCAAUGGGCGAAAGCCUGACGGAGCAACGCCGCGUGAGUGAUGAAGGUCUUCGGAUCGUAAAACUCUGUUAUUAGGGAAGAACAUAUGUGUAAGUAACUGUGCACAUCUUGACGGUACCUAAUCAGAAAGCCACGGCUAACUACGUG
rnacentral:rRNA from 1 species